GACGAACGCUGGCGGCGUGCUUAACACAUGCAAGUCGAACGGAAAGGCCUGCUUUCCCUUGUGGAUUGCGGGUACUCGAGUGGCGAACGGGUGAGUAACACGUGAGUGAUCUGCCCCCAACUUGGGUAUAAGCCCGGGAAACUGGGUCUAAUUCCCGAUAGGACUGCAGGGUGGUGCCUGUGGUGGAAAACGAUUUUCUAGUGGUUGGGGAUGAGCUCGCGGCCUAUCAGCUUGUUGGUGGGGUAAUGGCCUACCAAGGCGGCGACGGGUAGCCGGCCUGAGAGGGUGGACGGCCACAUUGGGACUGAGAUACGGCCCCGACUCCUACGGGAGGCAGCAGUGGGGACUCUUGCACAAUAGGCGGAAGCCUGAAGCAGCGACGCCGCGUGGGGGAUGACGGCCUUCGGGUUGUAACCUCCUUUCGACCGCGAGGAAGCCACCUGGUUGGAAGGGUGGUGACGGUAGUGGUAGAAGAAGCACCGGCUAACUACGUG
rnacentral:rRNA from 1 species